GACGAACGCUGGCGGCGUGCUUAACACAUGCAAGUCGAACGAAGAAGCCUAGCUUGCGCGGUGGUUUCGUGGCGAACGGGUGAGUAAUACGUGAGUAAACUACCUUUAUAUCUGGGAUAAGCACGGGAGACUGGGCCUAAUACCUGCUACGACAAAUCUUCGCACGCGGUGUCGGUGGGAAGAGGAUUGUGGUGGUUUUAGUUGGGCUUACGGCCUAUCCGCUUGUUGGUGUGGUAACGGCUCACCACUGCGAAGACGACUAGCCGCCCUGGAAGGGUGACCGGCCCCACUGGGCUAGGGGCACGGCCCAUACGCCUUCGGGAGGAAGGGGUGGAAAACUUUGCGCAAUGCGCGCAGGCCUGAAGGAGCGUCGCCGCGUCGGGGAACACGGCUUUCGGGUUAUAACCACUGUGAGCGGAGAAGAAGAGGGAUUGACGGUACCUACAGAGAAAGCGCCGGCUAACUACGUG
rnacentral:rRNA from 1 species